CAUUCGUCUCAUUAAUUAGUGAUGCGGUUUAAAGUUAAUUCAGAGGCAAGGCCAAUGAGAGAAAAAAAUACCGUAAUCCUAUAGAUGGCAGAAACAAAGUUUCCCUCCCUUCUUUGAUAUUCACUUGGAGUGGUAACUAAAAAUACAAGUAACUAAGUACUUCACCUCCAGCUCCCUAAGCUAAGGUCUUUAAGAGAGGGUUCUGGGUUGUCAAGGACUUAAGAAGCCCAACAUGACUUCUAGGGAAGAUUGGGGAUACAGCCGUGACAGUACAAACUCAGAGGUCUGAGCAGUCAGAAACAGAGGUGGCUUCUGAGGCAAUGAGGCUUCUGCAGUGCAUGCACCUCCACAAGGAUAUGGUCUGCCCUACUGGAAAGCUCCCUGUCCGGAAGGGGAACACCAAACCGCAUUCUGUGGACGAGGAAAUGAGCAGCUUCUGUUCCGUCUCAGGUCUCAGCUGGAAAACAGUAUCUUGUCGCUUUCCUAGGAGUUGCCGAUGUAUCCUUACCAAAUUAAUCAAUAGGUUUUAAACUGGUAACUAUGGAUAUAUGGAUAUACCAAGUCAAUGUGGAAAGGACGUCUUAGACCCACUACGGAAGGCCUCUGACACUGUCAGAUGAACCUGUUCUUUUGUAACCUAUAGGAAAUCUUCAUGAAACAGCAGAGGACAGUCUCUCCUGGUUGCUUCAGAUCAAGGUUCUUGGCUCCUCCAGCAUAUAUCUGCCUGAAUGCUGCCGUACUUCCCACCGUGAUGAUAAUGGACUGAACCUCUAAAACUGUAAGCCAGCCCCAAUUAAAUGUUGUCCUUUAUAAGAGUUGCCUUGGUCAUGGCAUCUCUUCACAGCAAUAAAACCCUAACUAAGACCCUUAUAAAUUUAAAGGAAGAUUUUUCUAAGUACAGAAAAGUGGCUCUUAAACUCUCUGUGGGAUUGUACACGGGGUGGUAUGGUGUAAAUGGUGCAUGUAACUCAUUGUGCAGGUGUACACACCAUGCAUGAGAUGUCUUCCUCUAUCACUCUGUCUCUCCCUGAAUCAGGAGCUCCCCGUUUCUACGUGGCUGACUGGCCAGCAAGCCUGCAGAAUGCCUCCCAUACCCUGCUGGUGUCUGCCCAUCACUGUUGGAGAUAUAGGCUUAUCAACAAUCUCCCUGACUUCUAGUGGCUUUCAAAUUUUUAGCUGAAACUUAAAGUUGGAAAUUUAUACCAGGACUGGCUCAGCCUAAUGACCAGACCUAAUGACCUAAGUUAAAUCCAGGGACUCACAUGUCAGAAGGAAAGGCCAACUUUCACAAGCUGUCUAAUGGCACAAGCCAUGUAGGAAAGGCCAUAGCAAGCAAGUGAAUUUUCUGGAGUUGGUCCACCAUUUUGCAUGGCUGUGAUGGGUGCACUCUGGAGAGGCAUGGGCCCCAGAGACUUCAUCCCACAAUUGCUUCUCCCUGGCAUUCCUGCCGCUAUUAUAUAACCUGAUGAUUCUUGGGCAUCAGCCCACCCUGUUGGGCAGAUUUCCUGAAGAUCAAUAGGAAGAUGUACUUUCAUAUAAUAAUGCUUUUUAGAUGAAUUGAUGAUUUCAUUAUUCAUGAUAAGGAUUUUAUAGAACUCCAGAACUGAUUCAAGUAAUUUUAAGCCCCUGAAGAGUAAAAAGCUGCAAACAGAGCUUGGUAUCACAAGCAAGUGACUUGCACUAGGAAGAAAACUAGGCUUUGGGGCAAAUUAAUGAUCAAGGAAAAGAACAUUUCAUUCUAGGUCAGGUCCAAGAAUGAAGCCACAGGUGAGCACUAUGGUAAAGCAAGCCCCUGUGAAACUGUUGCUGCGAACUUAUAAUGAGCUUAUAGACUAAACACUGCUGUGAGCUUACUAUAAACAUCUUUCUGUAACCCCCUUCUGUGUAACAUUUUAUCUGUGAGGUAAGUUUAUAAAGAACUUUUGUCUAAGAAGCUGUAAAGGAGCUGAGAGAAACAGUAAAGUGUGGCUGUUGGGUCUCUGUUCCACCCAACAAAUAUGGUUAUAUGUCUCUCUAUGUGUACAUAUAAUAUGUCUAUGUAUAUAUGUCUGUAUCUAAAUGUAUGUACACAUACAUACAUGUGUGCAUGUAUGUGUUCAUGACCUUUUCUCUCUGCUUUUCUUUCUUGCUGUCUCACAAAGAAUUAAUGAGCUCCAAGCCUCUCCAAGCCAACAAGUGGCUCCAGAGUUGAGUAAAGAGCCCAAGUGAGUAAGUUUCUUUCCUAAUCCCCCACUGCUUUCAGCAGGAGCCAGUUGCCAGAAGCCAGGGAGAGCUAAUUGCCAGAAGUCAUCAGCUUCUGGAACAUCCUAUGAUUCCACCUCAGUAGCUAAAGGUCAAGGUUAGACCUUGACAGUCCACUGAUGCACACCCGCAAAAAUAAAGAGAUAUGUAUCACCAAGUAAUUAAUGCCUAUCUGUGAUGCUUUGCGAGUUUUCCUAUUCUAUCUAAAACCUCUAUUAAUUCACAUGGCUGCCAUGUUAAAAAGAAAUCACAGCAAGAUAAAGAAACUGGCUGGUUCACUUCUUGCUGGAACCGUUACCGUUUCAGCCAGCCACCUGCUUGCCCUGUCCUACAUGGCAGAGAGAGGCUUUUCUCUCUCCUUCCUAUGGCUCCUAACUGACGAGGGCCUCACCCCACGGUCUGUCUAGAAUGUUUUUAUCUCCCAGGGUCCUCUCUUGAAAUCAUGCCCAAGUCCUCCUAAAAUGUGAGGUCAUGUCCCACCAGUGCUGGGGUUCUCAGGAGCCGGGGGUAAGGAGCGCAGACUUCGCUUCUAAAGGAACAUUUGUUAAUGUCAGGAGACACUUUGCAUCUUUAUAACCAGAGGGCUGCUUCUGGCCUGCAGAGAGUAGAAGUCGGAGAUGCUGCCAGAAGGGCUAAGAUUGAGAAAACACUACACUGCUGAUUUGGAGGCUCAGUAUUAAGGGAUGACUUGGGGGCACUCUGAAUUCAUUGCUCCUUCCUCAUAGCAAGACAGUUGUUUUCUGAGGUCAGGUCUAAAGAGAAAAAGAGAGCUAAAGUUACCAUGUGCUUUUCCUACACAUGCUGAGAUCCAUGAUAUUUCAGUUAUUUGUACAGGUUAUCUAAAUAGUCACACAAGAAGCCAAAAGUAUAAGUUAUUUCAUUUUCUGGGAUUAGGAGAGAAAGAAGUAGUACAGUGCAAAUCAACCCUCACUUCUCUAAUUAUUUAUGAACACCAGCAAAUAGUUGGUAAUUGACAGCUUACUUGGGUGCGUAUAGCUAGUUAGCACAGUUAAAAAAAAACCUAUGUUUUCUAUUUAAAGAAUCUAAAGUGCAUGUUUCUGUGUGUGUAUGUAUGUGUGUGUAUGUGUGUGUGUAUAUGUUUGUGUAUAUGUCUCUGUAUAUGUAUGUGUGUGUCUCUGUGCAUGUAUGUGUGUAUGUUUCUCUCUGUGUAUGACUGUGUAUAUAUUUGUGUGUAUGUCUCUGUAUGUCUGUGUGUAUGUGUGUGUAUGUCUGUCUCUCUCUGUGGAUAUGUGUGACUCUGUAUGUGUGUAUGUCUUUCUGUGUGUCUCUGUGUGUAUGUCUCUCCCUCUCACUCUGUAUGUCUUUGUGUGUGUAUGUUUCUCUGUGUGUGUAUGUUUCUCUCUGUGUGUAUAUGACUCUCUCUGUAUGUCUCACUCACUUCGUGUAUGUGUGUAUAUGUCUCUCUGUAUGUGUGUAUCUCUCUGUGUGACACAAUCUCUCUCUGUGUGUAUGUGUCUCUUUAUGUGUAUAUGUGUGACUCUCUGUAUCUCUCUCUCUCUCUCUCUCUCUCUCUCUCUGUGUAUGUGUAUGUGUGUGUGUGUUAGAGAGAGAGAGAGAGAGAUGUAACAAUGAGCUUUAAUCUAUUAGUCUAGGAAAACAGUAGGAGGCGCUCUUGUCUUUUAAAUGAAGAGAAUGUUUAACUAAAUCUGCCUGAUAAUUAAAUUUGAAGCAACAGAGCUACAAAGAGACUACAAAUCGUGUAUUAAAAGGGUAUAGAAAAGUCAACAUGAAUGAAGAAUUUCUGGUUUUUAAAAUUUAGUCAAUAUUUUUUCUUAAAAAUUUUAAUAUUUAUUUACUUUAUGUGUGAGUGUUUUGCUUGCAUGUAUGUAUGUGUAGCAUGGGCCUUCGGGAUGAGAAGAGUGUUAGAUUUGCUGGAAGUGGAGUUAUGAAUGCCUGUAAGCCCCAGGUAGGUGCUGGGAACUGAACCUGGGUCCCCUGCAAGAGCAACCAUUGGUCGUAACUGCUGAGCCUUCUUUCCAGUCCCCAAACUUAUUUUUUCAAUGUAAUAUUAUCAUUAAUUCUUUGAAAAUUUCAUAUACUCACAGAAUGGACUUAAUAAAAAAUUUUUUUUAAGCCGAGGAGUGAUCAUUGCGGUGAAAGCAUGUGGGACUGAGGCUGGGGAUGCCGCACGGCUGGUAGAGUGCCUGAGUUUGCUCCUCUGUACCACAUAAGCUCAGAGCGGCAGUACAGCCUGUGACCUGGGCAGUCGGGAGGUCAAGGCAUCCUCAGGCUCUAGUGCGAGGGCUGUAACUCCAUAUUAUAAUCAUUUCAUAUAAAAUGCCUCAUGAAAGACGGGGUCUCAGCACAACCUUAGAGCGUUAUAAAUGAACAAAAUUCCUCCAAACCAGAUGCUACUAAGUUUAAAAGCAGAAAAUUGGCCAAAGGAUAAAAAAAUAGAUAUGGUAAAAAUUUGAAACCAUGAAGGUCAAUACCUGUUUUCCUAAGUGUCAUAAGUAAUGAAAGACAUCUUUUCGAAAAUGAAAAGAAAAUGUAUUUUGGAAAACAAAAUAUGGAAACAGAGAGCCAGAACUAGUGGUGCAGGCCCGGAACCCCGGAUACUCAGGAGGCUGAACAUAGGCAAUGGCAGAUACAAGUCCUGCCUGGCAGAUCAGGUUCAAGAGCAACCCUGGGAAUAACCUCGCUCUUACAAUGUGUGUGGCGACCAACUGCAGCCGUGUCAUUCAGAAACACAAGCAUAGCAACUUGAGGAAUGGAAUCCUGUAUCGUUGUUGGGUUGAGUAUAUAAAAUUUUUAAAUGGCUUCAAGUUAUCUUUAACACAUGACUAAACUUUAAACUGUACAAUACAGCGACAUAAGUCUUGACAUGUGCAUCUUCUUGUGAAAGCCAUCACUAUACCUAUGACAGUGAAUGCUCACAUUACCCCGUUGUUGUAUAUUAUAAAAUCGCAUGACCGGUUCCCACGAGUUCCCACUCUGCGUGGAUCUGGUGCUCUUGCCGUUUCCCUGUCAGCUGAUUUCACACACUGACACACUGUCCCCUACCCGGGUUGUUACCACGCCUGAGACUCACAUCGUGUUCCGAGGACCGUAGCAUUUUACAGCCUAGCACGGCUUCCUGUCACAGACUCCACUCACACUCCCAACCACCCAGUCAAAACACGACUCAACAAACCCAACAACCAGGUGUAUAUGUUAAUUACUCAAUUCGAAAUACAUCCACACCACUAAUUUACAACCAAUUGACAAGGGUAUAAACCACUCACUUAGAUAAGAUAUAGUUUGCUCAUCUAGAUACACAAAAUCCUGUACACAUCCAUCCCUUAAGAAUAGUCAUAACAACUUGUAUCUAUGUAGAGAUGCAUGACGAGGAUCGUUUAUGUUUGCCUCCAUGCUGCUUCUCCCCUGCUCUCCCUCUCGCUCUGGUCUCUCCUCUCUAAAACUUUUCUCCAGUCCAUCCUUCCUUCUUGCCCAAUGACAGGCCUCGUUCUGUCCCAUACCUGCCUUCACCUGCAUAAUGACACAACCUACAUCAGCCUCAGAGCUUCAUGCCCCUUUGCAGAUUUCUCUGACUUCCCGUUCCCCCAAAUCCAGACAACCACUAGUCCCUUUAUGUUGGUAGAGUUUACAUGAACGUGCGUUUUUAUUUAAUUAGUCAAAGUGUUACUAUUAAACAAUUUAUGGUCCUGCUUUCAUAAAAAAAUAUAAAAAGGAAAAAAUUGAAAUGGAAAUGUCUUGUGACAAACAGAUAUAUCCAGAAUACAAAAUGUUUAAUACACUAUUCCAUUUUCACUCCUCCAACGGCAAGCAGGAGAGACACGGUUCAAAGAGUUCAAGAGAAAAACUUUAGGGAGCCACACAAACCCAGAAGUUCAGGUUCUAGCCUCUUGCUUUUUCGUCUCAUGGGCCAAAUAGUCAUUCUCUGAUUGCCUACAUCUGGGUUUGCCCAUCCUCUACCAACUGCCUUCCUCCACCACCCUUAGCUUGUGGCUCCUGGAAACUUCAGAUUGCUAUGUGUCAUAGGGUUUCAUUGCUGUGAGGAGACACCAUGACCAAGGCAACUCUUACAAAGGACAAUAUUUAACUGGGGCUGGCUUACAGGUUCAGAGGUUCCGUCCAUCAUCAUCAAGGUGGGAGCAUGGCAGUGUCCAGGCAGAUGUGGGACUGGAGGAACUGAAAGCUACAUAUCUUGAUCCAAAGGCAGACAGGAAGAGACUGGCUCCCACGUGGCUAGGAGGAGGGUCUCAAAGCCCACCCUCACAGGGACACACUUCCUCCAACAAUGCCACACCCACUCCAACAUAGCCACACCCACUCCAACAAGGCCACACCUCCUAACAGUGCCUCUCCCCCGGCCAAGCUUAUACAAACCACCAUGCCAUACUUUACCUCAUUCUAAAUAUACGUAUAUCAUCUCCUGGUUUAGCCCUUUUGACUUUCUUUUUCUGCUGCUAAGUGUUGUAGCAGUAUUUCCAAUUUGGUGUCUCAAAGAGAAACAGGUAAUUUAGCUUCAUUUGCCUUUUUGAGCCAGUCCACAUUCUGUAGGUUGCUUGCUGGGCAGGAUAUAUAUCAGGUAUUUUUGGAUCUGGAGCCAACCACCAUCUGUGAUUGGAGAGCAAGAACCCCAGCAGCAGGCACUGUAAGCUGAGUUAGCUAUGCUCAGGAAAGGAAGGUUGUGUGUGUAUGUGUGUGUGUCUUUCUGGAGAGAGAGAGAGAGAGAGAGAGAGAGAGAGAGAGAGAGAGAGAGAACGAGAGAACAAAGUGCUUACCUUACCUGUCAUAAGAAGAGUAGGUCUUUAGAGCUUGCUGGAAAUGGAAUUAAAGUUUAGCACGUAUUUACUAAUCUUGUGGCUUUCAGUAACUUUAAUGAAUCGGAGGAGACUUAACCUCUCUGAACUUUAUUUUUUUCAUUCAUACUUGGGGGUAAUAAUAUCUUUCAGAGACUUGGUAAAAACAAAAAGUUAAAACAAUAUCUGCACGCAGUACAUUGGAGUUCUCAACAAUGUUGGAUGUUUAUAACAGUUUAAUGGUGAUAUUAAAAAAAAUCUACGGGCUGGAGAGAUGGCUCAGCGGUUAAGAGCACCGACUGUUCUUCCAGAAGUCCUGAGUUCAAUUCCCAGCAACCACAUGGUGGCUCACAACCAUCUGUAAAGAGAUCUGAUGCUCUCUUCUGGUGUGUCUGAAGACAGCUACAGUGUACUUAUAAAUAAUAAAUGAAUAAAUCUUUAAAAAAAAUCUACCCAUAGAUUGAUAUAUCUCAGAUAUAUUCUGUGUCAAAGCUAAAAGAUAGCUCACCCAAGAAGAAAACCUGAUAGGUACAGAUAUUAACUUUAAGGAUGUUCAGUCAAACAAAGAAAUUUAUAAUGCAUUUAAAAAUAGUUAUUUCUUACUUACAUCAAUUGAAUGUUUUAACAAAAUAAUCCAAACAUUAUUUUUCCAAUCUAAUUUUUCUAUUUUGUUUUUGUUUUUGAGAUGGGCUGGCUUUGAACUCAUGAUCCUCCUGCUGCCACCACCUGUUACAAGCACAAGUCAUUACACUGGCAAACACUGUGGUAUUAAUGGGUACUGAGGAACAAUAUAAUACAUUUGGUUUCUGGUACUAUAGAUUGAGGAGAUUUUUAUAAAUGGCAGUCCCACAAACAAUACCUUGGAAUUCAUAGUACCAUCUGGAAAAAUACUUCCUAAGCAAAUAAUUGAGAAGGAACACUUUUGUAGGUACAGAUAUAUAUAGCUUUCUUUCUAGUGCAGAGGCUUUUGUGAUUUUUAUAACUAAAAGAGGGGAGUUGGUUUUUCCGCUUCUGUUGUGCGUUGGAAACAUCUUGGAGCUUUCAAAAAGCAUUCAUGUCCCAUGCCAGCGAUUCUGAGUUAAUUGUUCUAGAAUACAGCCUGAUCCUGACUGUGCUUUUUAACACUCCCCAGGUGAGACUAACAUGGACCUAUGAGGGAGAAUUGCUCUUGCCCCUCCUUAUCCAGGGACCCAUGAAAACACAAGAGCCAGAGAGGCUAAAAGGCCUCUCAGAAGAACACACAUGGGCCAUGGAAAUGAUGAUGUACCUGCUGCCUCCUUCCACUCAAGUCCUGGAAAUAUGCAUGUGGUCAGCACUUAGACUAGGCAACAAAGCACGGGGAAGCAAUACAGCGCAUGGUAAUAUGGAUGACCACAGACAGAGUAGAAAGUAAUGCAUGCAGGUCAGUGAGAACCACAGUAACCGGGGUCCAUCCCUGCCACUCACCCAGAGCAGCAGUUGUUCCCUCUGGAGCUGUUGCCUCCUUUUGGGGAGCACAGUCCUUUCUUGCCUCUCUCUGAUCCACUAGACGCAAGUCUCUCUGUUGGAAAGGUGAAGCUCUCAGCAUCCGGGUCAGCAAGAGACCCCCUCCCACACACCCACACACUUUUUACCACAUCAAUUAACCAUUCUGUGUCAUUCAAUAUGCCACUCCCACUCAUCUCUAAAACUUCUCACCUCUCCUAACCAACAUUUGAUAGCCAUUAAAGACACUGCCCCUGGCAUCUGCCAUUCUGCUUGCUGUCUCCGUGAACCUGACUCCUGUAAGCUUAGGGCAUGGUGGUUUAGCCGGCUCUAUCGCCAGAGCUUGAGAGAAGCAGGGUAGAUGGCACUGAACCCUGUUCUUAUCUCCUACUUGUCUCCCAAUUGUGUGCUUGGCUGCCCCACAGUUCUUGUUUCUCCAUCUCUUAAAUAGUCUCUGCUUCCUUAUCAAAUGCCCACUGUGUGUCAAGAGCUAUGCUAGAUGUGGGAGUCUUACAAAAAGUUCAGCUUCUUGUCUGCAGGCAGCUCACAGUACGGGAGAUAGGUGUGCAUGUGCUAGGCAAGCAAAGGAGUGGCUCAUGUGGAGCAACUGAGGUUUUCAAGUCCCAGAGCUUGGAGGAAUUGCUGUGGUUGGAAGUAAGGGACAAAACAGAAACAGAGGGGUGGGUCUGGAGGUGUAGGUCAGAUGGCCAAGAUCCCCUAAACUGUGUUAAGGAGUGUAGCUGGGAAAGCAAGAGGACCCAGGAAGGUUCUAAAGGAGAGAAGAUGCGAGAGCUCUGCCUGAGUGCAGAGCAUCCUCAGUCUCCAGCUGCAGCCCUCACUCUGCCCGGUCAUUAGACCUGGUUUAGUGUGGUUUGUCAUACUGCCCAGGCUUUGUGACAGUGUAUCUUAGUGCUGACCCACAAGGUCAUCACAGCUUCUAAAUAGCUUUGACAAAUUAUAUACAAUGUGUCUGCUAAUCUGGAAAAUAAAUGGACUCCUGAGCGAA